AGUGAACGCUGGCGGUAGGCCUAACACAUGCAAGUCGAACGGCAGCACAGUAAGAGCUUGCUCUUACGGGUGGCGAGUGGCGGACGGGUGAGGAAUACAUCGGAAUCUACUUUUUCGUGGGGGAUAACGUAGGGAAACUUACGCUAAUACCGCAUACGACCUACGGGUGAAAGCAGGGGAUCUUCGGACCUUGCGCGAUUGAAUGAGCCGAUGUCGGAUUAGCUAGUUGGCGGGGUAAAGGCCCACCAAGGCGACGAUCCGUAGCUGGUCUGAGAGGAUGAUCAGCCACACUGGAACUGAAACACGGUCCAGACUCCUACGGGAGGCAGCAGUGGGGAAUAUUGGACAAUGGGCGCAAGCCUGAUCCAGCCAUACCGCGUGGGUGAAGAAGGCCUUCGGGUUGUAAAGCCCUUUUGUUGGGAAAGAAAAGCAGCAGGUUAAUACCCCGCUGUUCUGACGGUACCCAAAGAAUAAGCACCCGCUAACUUCGUG
rnacentral:rRNA from 1 species